rnacentral:misc_RNA from 1 species
GCCCGAUCCGAUCGCACUGCAUCGGUCACUCGACGAGAUCGCGGGCGAGGGCGUGACCCAUCUGGCGUUCGAGGCGUCGUCGCAUGGCCUCGACCAGCAUCGCCUCGACGGAGUGCGCGUCAAUGCCGGCGGAUUCACCAACCUGUCGCGCGACCACAUGGAUUAUCAUCCGACCAUUGAGCACUAUCUCGCAGCGAAGCUGCGGCUGGUCA